rnacentral:snoRNA from 13 species
UUUCCCAUUUGACUACCACAUUUUCUCCUAAUGGUAGAUUUUAGUGGCUAUGCUUAUGGGAUAGAUUAAAGUUGCCGUGAUCUGAAGGAGGAGGGUUUUUCAGUGUCCUCCUUCUAUAUGAAAUGGCUGAACAUAAAGUU